GCAGCAGUCAACUUUGCGGCAACGUGAAGGAAGCUACAAUAAUCUCCUCUUCCAGCAGCAGCAGCGUCCCGGCUCCACUGAACAGACUGAAGACAGAGUCCUGUGUGAGUAGAUUCACUCUGAUGUCCUCUGCCUGGGCUGGCUGAGCUGUGCGUGUUGAAACAUGCCUCGACGUGUACUGGCUCGCCUGGCCGAGGAAGGAGAGAGAGCCUUGAGCCCUGCCCUCAACGGUUUCACCAUGCCCUGCUUGAAGUGACCCUCGGGCAGACAAACAAGAACCAGCAGAGCGGCUCAACACUGGCAGUUGACUGUCCUGGACACUCAGAGUGGACGGACACACUGAACAGAACCAGAACAGGACCCGGGAUCUUCAGCGGUAGCCAGUCUAUAAUCUGUCCUCGAUCCCAACACUACUUUACAGCCUAGCUCUUGGGGAUUCCUCUUCACAGGGAAACCUCCUCUUCAUCAGCUGAGACAGCAGGCUUCCUCCACUUACCUACCAGCUGCCACAGAGGAACCACAACGUUUAUCAAGGUGGGAAGCAGGCAGACUUGGAAUGAAAGUCAAAGGAGGACUGCAUCACUAUUCCCCUUUCGAGGCAGAAACCUAUUGAACUGACCAUUCUCUGACAACGUCACAGGUCGGACCUGACAGUGACCACCGUGUGUGUGUGUGUGUGUGACGUGUGUGUGUGUGUGUGUGUGUGUGUAUGUGUGUGUGUGUGUGUGUGUGUGACGUGUGUGUGUGUGUGUGUGACGUGUGUGUGUGUGUGUGUGUGU